GGGGGGGGGGGGGGGGGGGGGGGGGGGAGGGGGGUGGGGGGGGGAGGGCCGGCUUUUGGGGGGGGGUCGGGUGGCGAGCGGGUGAGUGAAGCGUGAGUGACCUGGCCUUGGCUUUGGGAUAACUUCAGGAAACUGGGGGUAAUAACGGCUAGGCGCGCGUGCUGCAUGGUGGGGGUUGGCGAGUUUCGGCGGUUGGGGAUUGACUCGCGGCUUAUCAGCGUGUGGGGGGGGUAGUGGCUUACCAAGGCUUUGACGGGUAGCCGGCCUGAGAGGGUGACCGGCCACAUUGGGACUGAGAUCCGGCCCAGACUCCUACGGGAGGCAGCAGGUGGGAAUAUUGCACAAUGGGCGGAAGCCUGAUGCAGCAACGCCGCGUGCGGGAUGACGGCCUUCGGGUUGUAAACCGCUUUCGCCGGUGACGAAGCGUGAGUGACGGUAAUGGGUAAAGAAGCACCGGCUAACUACGUG
rnacentral:rRNA from 1 species